GAGUUCGGGUCUUAGGAAGUUAAAUUUAUAUUUAUAUUACAGUCUGGAAGCCUAAAUUUUGCUGCAACAUUUGGAUGGUAGGGUCAGAAUUUGGGGUAAACAACAUGAAAGCAUGGGUCCAUGAUUUCAUGGGAUAUUGUCCUGGCACACCGUGUCCCCUUAUUAUCAGUAGAGCAUAAUUUAAACAUCACAGCCUACCUGAAUAUUGUUGCAUCUCUUAAUGACCACAGUGUACCCAUCUACUGAUGACUGCUUCCACCAUGAUAACUCACUAUGACACAAAGCUCAGAUCAUCUCAAACUUUUUCUAACAUGACAGUGAGUUCACUGUACUCAAAUGACCUCUACAGUCAGCAGAUCUCAAUCCAAUAGCGCACCUUUGGGAUGUGGUGGAAUUAGAGAUUUGCAUCAUUGAUGUGCAACCAAUAAAUCUGCAGCAACUGUGUGAUGCUUUCAUGCCUAAUUAUCAGUUCUGAAGGCAACAGGGGGUCCAACCUGGUGUCAUUAAGGCGUACCUAAUCGACCGUCCGAGGAGUAUAUGCUGCAUUAUGUUGAGAUUUUAGCCUGUAAUGGAAGAACUGUAGAAAGGAGGAACACUCAGUUAACAUGUGUAGGCCUGUUUUGAAACAGUCAAUAUAAAGCUAAAGUUAUGCAUGUUGCUGUAAAUCCUACAUGUGUUCGUGCAAAUGAAUCCCAUUAAAACGGUUUUUAUAAUAAAACAAAUAGCAGCCUAAACUAGCAGCUAGAAAGACAUAAAAAUGAGAUUUUUACUACAGUCCAGCAGCAGAUCAACCCUUAUAGGUAAGCUGGCAGUGUUUUCAUCCACAAAUUUUAUUUUUGGGCAUUUGGAAUCCAUAGUUACAAAAUACCAUUUUUAAAAAUAUGCUCAUAUAAUAUAUGUAUAUAUCAUGUGUAUACACACAUGAUAUAUACCUCCAGGCUUGUAACCCCUUUUUAAACUGGCCUUAACACAGACAGUAAUAUUUCAAAAGAGGUUUCCACCUGGAGGAUCUGUUUGGUCUAGAACAAGGCUUCUUUCAUGCCUCUGAAAUGGCUCCACAGCUACAGACCGGCUUGAGCUGUUUUACUGUAAACAUCUGAAGCACAUGACACAAAGCAGCUCCAGUCCACGUCUCAGUUUCCAUCAUGGAAUUGUAUCAUGUCGUAGUAUUGAUCCUGUAAUUGAUCCUGUGAAGUCGAGGGCACCUGUACAUACUCUGUCAUCCCUCAGUGCCAGGAGCGCUCUUGUUUAAUUGCAGGCUAAGGCGCUGGUUUUUCAUGUUGCCUUUGAAAAGCCUCAUUGAUUUUUAUACCACCCUUCAUCCUUGCUGUGCUCCGUUUUAAGAGCAAAUCCCUGGUGUCGAAGUUGCCCUGAAUGUAAAAGUAUGAAAUCUGUCAGCGCUUUUCACAAGGCUUCCAGGUGUUAUCCAGACACGUUAACACUCGUGUUUAAAAAAAGAGUUGGCUUUCUUUCUUUUUUUUUCUUUUUUAUAAUUUUAAACAGAAGGAGGAAGAACAGAAGCUGUGUUACAUGCUACUCUGGCUCAUAUGGGGCCAGAUGAAUGUGAGCUUGUGAGACUUGUGAGGUCAAGGUUUGUAACUUUGUGCCUGUUUCUAUUGCUUGAAUUAAAAAAAAAAGAAGUCACACCCAAGUGAAGAUAUGUUGAAUUAGUUUAAUUAUUUUUAUUUCUUUGAUGAGGGUCCAUGUAGGGCUGUUGCACCAGAAAAGCAUUCUACUUUAAGAGUUCAUUCCAUUAAUUCAUGAAAUAAUCUGAAUCCAAUAAUCCAAACAGGAAUGCGUUUUUUGUCAGGCUUUUAACUGCAGCUUAGAUACUGGCACAGAAAUAUAUUCAGUACAUGAGGGUCUAUACAGAACAAAAACAUCCUAAAUGAAAUUUGAUUUGCAUUAAUUUGAGAAGCAGCUUAUCUAACAUUCAUACUUUGAACUUGCUUUGAAUUCGAAAUAGGUUCUCAUCAUUUCCCCGGGAUUGCAGCCAAUUUAUUGGAUUCAGUUUUUUUUUUCCUCAGAGGCUCAGGGAGGCGGAUGAUCUCAAAAUGUUAUCACAUGACACCAUGUGAUUGAUGGACCAUUAAAACGUCAGCCAGAUGUACUUAAAACCACAGCUUUUAGGUUGAUAAAUCAUGGCACAAAUGGAUACAUAAAGCUGUUAGAAACAAAUAUUCCCAUCUAGAGCUAUCUGCAGUCAGAUGGUAAUGGAUGUUCUAUCUGAUGGUUUGUCUGUCUCUCUGUAUGUUUCUUUCUUCACAUUUUCCCUCUCGCCGUGUAUCUCUGGACUGCUGCAGUCAUGUAAUUACAAUGGGCCAGGUAGGAGUGUUCAUAUUUCAUCUGCUGCAUUCACGAUAACAUCUAAUAAUCCGAAAGCGUUGCAAAAUUGGUAUCUCGUUGCUCAUGCAUUAUGAAUGAGUCACUGAUUGCUUUUUUGCAUAGAUUAGCAAUCAUUUCACAGAAAUCUUUCUUAUAAAAAUGUGCCAGGAGGGUUCUAUCGCUUUUUCUGAAGAGUUGAGUUACCACAUCCCGCUCCUUUUUUAAGAUCAGGUGAUACCACUUCUCCUCCUUGCCCCACUGCUUCUUCUCUUGCUCUCUGAUUUAUUUCUCUAUGCAUAUCAUCAUGGGGGGGAUAAGUGUAAUUUUCAGCCCACUUUGCAACUGAUUGCUCACUUAGUGAAUAUAUUCAGCAUCUGCAGUGUCAUUGUGUUUGGAGCCAAGUGGCUAAGUACCAAUGAUAUUCUUUGGCAUCAAAGUAAACAUUUGCAGACUCUAAGAAGUAAGAAGCAACUCUUCAGAGCUCAGAUUGUGCGCCCUAAAUAUGGAUUUCUGUGACUUUUGGUUGUACUCACUUGUGACCACAAAUUGGCAUCGCACAUAUUGGGUUGUAAGGUCUGGUGGUUAGGAAAAUAGGCUCAGAACCACAUCCCAGUGAAAAGUCCCAGGUAAAGUUUACAUAGUACUUUUGUUUCCUGUCAGGCAAAUAACCUGUUCCACAGUCACAAUGAUCUGCGUCAUCCAGUGAAAUGUCAAGUCAUAUUUAUUUCACAGAGCACUUAAAGAGAGUGUUAGAACCAAGAUGAAAAAUGUCACACUUCUUUAAAAAAAAAAACUCUGCAUGAAAUUGUUUCAAUGCUUAAAACUUUGUGUACAUAAAUGCAGUUUGAAUUAAAACAGAAUUUGGUCUUGUUGCAAACUGAAUUAUGACAAGAGUGCCAACAGUGUGAGUCUGUGGUGAGGUGUACCAUGUAUGGACGCCUGAGCUCAUAACCUCUGGCCUUUGCCCCCUUCCCCCAGAUGGGCAGACUCUCAGCCAAGGCCCUGUGGACGUUGGUGCCCUCUGCUUGACAGCCCGUCACUGUGCUAUAGUGGUGAUUUUUUUUUUUUUCUGCAGGAGAUGGUGUCUGAUUGGGAGCAGUGUGUGAAUAGCCCUGUCACACUCGAUAAGCCAGCAAGACGACCUGUGACGGGGACAUAUGGCAUGUUUGACAGGGAGAGAGGGUGCGAAUCGCACUGAAUGAUAAAAUGGUGUUUUUCCCCCUUCGGCAAUGUCAUGCUUUCAGGCAAGCGUGUGGACCAUCGCUCACUCAAGCGACUGACUCCAGCCUCCUUGUGACAUCUCCUUCAAGGUCCUGAGUUUCUCUGCCUCGCGCCUGGCCAAUUCUGACACUGCAAGCCUUUGCUGCUCGCAGCUGCUCGGUUAGCUUGUCGAUGUGGGAAACAUAAUUGGAUAUCAGUUUAGUUUAGCGAUGCACACUGGGAAAUUCAUCUUAAGAGCCUGUUCGUCAGUGCUCCUCUUAAAGCUCUCUGGCAGUGCAGCCCUUCAUCUUGUCGCUUCUCAGCCUGUCACACGCCUCACACUGUUGAUUAAUACACACCAGUCUCAUCAGACGACUCUAAUUGAUGGGUUCAGCCUCCUCAGGACCCUGAUUUAUUUAAAGGGCCAUGAACACCGAAGAAAGGAGAAGAAAGAGAACGGAGGAAGGAGACAAGCAGGCUUGGAUUUAAGUGUGUCGGGGAAAUUAUUGAGUUGAACUGCACGCCUCUCAUCCUUACUGUCAGCCGGGUCUUGACUUCAGCUGUUGCAGCCUCAACUCCUAUCCUGUCAAGUGUCACAUUGUCAGUGUUUGUGGCCGUGACAGACAGCCCAGGUGUCACACUCAGGCUUCAGUGCACCAUCAGGCACCUCUGCUCUGGUCCCCAGUGGCUCACAGUCAGAGAGACAGCACAGUCCAAUAACCCCUCUCAAACCCAGCAUGCCUUGCUCCCUGGGGAGUCCCCUGUGGAGUUUACUCUCUGUCCAUUGGGCCAGAACUUAGAAAUUCUGCCAAUGGACACAUAAUCCUGCUUUCACUCUGAAUGCUAAUUAUAACACUCCAACUGCUACAGUGCUACUUCUGCCUUUAUAGUGACUUUUUCUUCUGCCUUUUUUCCCUCUAAGAAUUAGAGCACGUUCCUAAAUUCAUUGGCUGCUGUUAACCAGGGGACAGAAGGUUGGUAUAAGCUGAUCUUAUCUUAUAAUGAGGAUAAUUUGGAAGAGAACUCUAAUUGUGAUUCAAUCUUAGUGGGUGAACUUGUUUAAAGCCUUUACACAGAUCAACAUUUUAUGUUAACAUAUUGUGAACGGGGUAAGAAUUGCAAAGAGUCCAUAGAAAACAUCAUCACUGGUACUCUGCAAAACUUUGUAGCAUCUUGUAGCCUUACAAGUGACACCUUGUUUUCUCACUUUAAUCUGGUGCCGUUUUGACUCCAGUAUCUAACAGUUUAUUGGCAAAAUAGGAUGUAAAGAUUAUGUAAAUAUGGGAUUUAUAGUGCUUGGAGGACAUAAAUAGGACUCGAAAUGAAUGCUAAUGUGACUGCGGGUCUAGUAAAUGUGUAAUUCUAACAAGUUCACUAUAUCGACUUGAGAGGUGAUAAUAUGCCGGUGUUGUGCUCACAGCCCAUUUCUAUAAAUAUAAGUGGUUGGUAGGUAAUUGGUAGGUUCAGGCAUUAAAUUUGACACAAGGUUUAUUGAAAAGUAACUGAUGCCAAUUAGUGACAUAUUUUAAAAGACAAGCAACUUUUUAAAAUAUAUAUAUACAGUCAGAACUUUCAAUUUGUAACUUGAGCUUUGAUGAAAACCAGAUUUCUGUCUUUAGGUAUGCUGUGCUCUUGAAUGGGAGCCUUUAGUUACUUGUUUUUCCAGCACAUGCCGCAGAUUGAAUUGGGAUUUAGAGAAUUUGAAGGCCAAUCAACAUUUUUUAAACUCCCCAGAACAAUUUCUGAGCAUUUUUAUUUAUUUAUUUUUUUUUAACAGUUUGACAGGAUGCAUUAUUCUGCUGAAAGAGGACACUGCCUUCAGAUGUGUAUGUGGUCUCCACCCAGUGUUUAGGUAGGCAGUAUGUCAAAGUAAUAUGCAUAUAAAUGCAGGGACUCAAGGUUUCUGAGUCAAACAUUGCCAAGAGCUUGCCUUCUUUCCAUAGUUCCUCCUGCUGCCAUCUCCCUAAGGUAAAUGACACACAUACACACAUGGCUAUAAAGAAAAAAAAUGAGGUGAUUCAUUAGACCAAGCCAACUUCUUCUAUUGCUCUGUGGUUUAGUUCUGAUGCUAACUUGCCCAUCAUUUCCACUUUAUGUGGCAGAUAGUUGUCGUCAUGGGCACUAUUGUGGUUUGGAGAUAUGUAGCCCCAUACUCAGUAGCUUAGUGCACUGACACUUUCCCAUCUUAGCCUGCGUUUUUCAGCUGGAUAACAUGAUCAGCUGACUCCACAGUUCUAAAACAUUUGAUAGGUAACCUCUGGAUAUUGGGAACACAUGACCUGCUGUUUUAGAGUUUAUUGGCUUCAGGAACAGACUGUUUACUUGCUUACAAGGUAAUCAAUGUUAUUUACUUCAUGUUUCAGUGAUUUUUAUAUUGGUUUCAAUCAGAAGGUAAAUGGCCCAGUUUAUAAGGUAGUUUAAAUUACUGCUUCCUCAGUGUGCUGCUGCAAUAAAAUGCUGCUUGCCCAGACUGGAUCUUUGACCUUUUGUAUAAAAUUUUAUGAAUCAUUUCAUUCUGUUAAACAUUUUGUGUGUAAUUAUGUUAUAAUUAAUGUUUAAAUUCUUCAUUCUUCUUCUUAUCUUUUUAUUGUUUUUGUGAGGUCACAGCAUCCAUCAGUCACCAAAAAACAAUAAAUUCAUUAUCCUAUUCUUCAGCAUGUUUUUCUGUCAGGUAUGUUUUUACUGCAUUGGCAGUGUGUAUGGGAUCUUUGUCAUGUUGAAAAAUAAAGCUAUUGCCAAUCAGGUGCUUUUCAGAUUAUAUUGCAUAGUGGAUCAAAAUCUGGCUGUACUUUUCUUCAUUAAUAAUUCCUUAAAUUAUGACAAGAUCAACACCACUGACUGAAAUGCAGCUCCAAACAUGACAGAGCCUCCACCGUGUUUUAUAGAUGACUGCAGACACUCACUGUUACAGCUCUCUCCUGACCUUCUCCAUACACACUGACAAUAAUCAGAAGAAAAUUUUCAGUUUGAAAUGCUUCAGCCUUUAGCCUCUCUGUUUCCCUUUAUUAAAGACUGCUUGUUUGCACUGAACAGUAGAUGGAUCAACUGCAGGGCCAGAUUCAUCUUUCAGGUCUUUGCUGGAUUUGUUCUUAUUUCCUAAUGACAUGACUUUUAGAUACUGUUCACCUGGUGCAGAUGGUUUUUUCUUCUUCUUUUGUCCUGCCAAAAUAGGCCAAGCUCUUUAUUAACCUCAUUUUUUGGUGCAACAAUACUAUUUUAUGUCAGUCAAACUGUGUUAUUUUUGGCAGUUUUUAUUGGUUCAACUAAAGAAAUGGAAACAAAUUAAAUGUUUUGAAAUAGCCUGCUUGUAACAAAAUAUCUAAAUAUACAAUUUAAACUUAGUUCUUUGUUAAAUUGUAACAAACACCAAUUUUUCUCUUGAGUUAGGUGCCUUUUUAAAAAGAUAUAUAAUUUAAGGAUUCACAGGUCAGAUUUGGUGGCUUUAAAAAAAAAACCCUUUCUGCAAAAAUGUUCAGUUAGAAGGAUUGGAGUGAAAAUAUGUGAAACAAACCUGGAGACCACAAUUACAAGAAAGUCUGCCCCCUUGAAAGCAGAACAUAAAGGAAUGGUGGCCUUGGCGAUUUACCGUAUAAAAGAAAGCAGUCAAGAUUUUGGCCAUGGAUAUCACAAGCUGUUGUUGCAUCUUAAUUUGAACUUUUUAUUAUUCAGUUAAUUAUUGCAAUAAUCAUUUAUUUUGUUUGCUACUUUUUUUUUCAAAUUAAAUCAAAAUUUCUUUUAUUUUAAGUAAGUAGUGAAACUCUGAAGUGAAACAACUCUGGCUCCCUUUCCACAUUUCACAUGUUUAUUGGUGUUGUAUAAAUCAGUCACAGUUUGGCUUUCGUUUCUUGCAUAGCCAUAAAUUUUCUUGACAAUUUUCCAUUUCUCAGAAUUGCUGUCCAUGCCUGUGUUAACCCUGUGUGACAGUUUCUGUUCCACUGGACACAGUUUCAAGCUGAGCAGAGAUAAGCCAGGACCUUCACUCAUUGACCCCGCAUCUAAUUUUUUUGUUCUGGAUUCCAUCAAUAAGGCUUGAGUGACAAGCUAUCCUCUCAUUCAGCCACUAUGCCGAAUGCUAAAUCGGUCUUGGCCUUGCAGCGAGAGAUGACCUCAGUGAUAUGAUAGUCCUGCUGCACUGCCAUCAGGAGACAAGAGGGGGUCUUUAUCAUCCGCUUCACAUUAGUAGUGUGCCAUCUCUGUGUGGUGAUUGUUUGUUAAUCAGCAGUUAGAGCCCUUGGUAGUAAGAGAAACUUUUGUCAAGCAGCCAUUUUAAGGAUUUGGUCAUAGAUUUUUGUGCAUUUCCCAAGAAGAUUAUAGGGAUAGCUGGCACUACAACAAUAUUCAUAAAUAUGCAUCGGGCUUUGUGGAACACUAGAAACACAAAAGUGGCAAUUUUGCAUGAUUGCAUUCACUUACAGGAGGAUAAUAUUGUGGGGGAAGCAAUUUUAAAGAAAUGUGAAAUAAAUCAACUCUUAACAUAGCCAACCAAAUCUGGGGCUGCUGUGAAAGGGAGGAUUUCUCAA